UUAGCAGGCAGAGCAUAACUAACAAAGAGGUACAAUAGUGUGUUACUCCUACAGUGAUUAAGAAAAUAAGCACUUAAUAUAUUGGCUAUAGAUUGAUUGUUUUUUUAAACCCACAGAUUGAUCUUCAGACGUUCCUCACUCUCACAGAUCAGGAUUUGAAGGAACUUGGAAUUACUACUUUUGGUGCCAGGAGGAAAAUGCUGCUUGCAAUCUCAGUUUGUGACUCUGUUCAGAUCCGCAACAAGAUCCUGAGAGCUGCCAGGAUUGUGUGAACCUUGGAAUUUCAAAGAAAAAGAGCUAAAUAAAAACCGAAGAAAGCUAUUUGAACCACCAAAUGCACGCACCACUUUUCUGGAAGGUGGAGCAAGUGGGAGGCUGCCCCGUCAGUAUCACUCAGACAUUGCUAGUGUCAGUGGCCGCUGGUAGCAGUACCUUCUAGGCCCGCUCCCACCAGCGAACUGUAGAGUUGGACAGAGAAGAUCUGUGAAUGGCCUUCACUGCACACCGUGUUCAGUACUCUGGGUGUCUGGUAUCAGGACCAAAGCAUCUCAUUCACUCCUGUACUUUGUGGCAAAAAGAAAGAAGAGAGAGAAGAUGUUCUUAUAUUGCCAUAUAAACACCAAAUGUGGAUUACUUUUUAAAAUGGCAAUUGGACAGAAUUUGCAAUAUGAGGGUAGGGCUUUAUUCUUUUUUAUUUACCUAUAUAACAUAUGCACUGAUUUUUUUUUAUUUUUACUUAAAAUGAAGGACAAAUUGACAUCUGGAAUGCCAGAAAACUUAGGAGUUAUUUUGUUUGCUUGCUUAGUAUUUGGGGAUUUAAAGAAGUGAUCGAAAGUGGGGUUUUCUGGUACUGCUUUAAGUGGUAUUGAGGUCGUUGGCACCUCACAUGUUCUAGCCUCUUGUCCUGUGGAAAUUUCUCUUUCUCCUUCCCAGCCAUUUUCAUGGCACCUAACAUCUCGGUGCGGAGCAGAUUGAGUCACAUUUUUUUGAUUAUAUCAAAUUUUUAUUUGAAAUGGUACUGGAUAUUAGUUUUUGUGACUUUGGGAAAUGUGAGUCCACUUGGUAAUGGACCAAUUCUGUUCAACGUCAGCAUCCUAGAAACACAUAGCAUGAACCUAGUUCACAGUAACGGGCAAAGGCAGACCAAACGGACUUCCACUGUUAACCCUUUGCAGCCAUCAUAUCUAGCUGCUGCCUGUAUUGCUAAAAUGAUUUUAAUGGUUGUCUAAAGGCAAAGGGCUGUUUUUUAGUAUACUGCCACUAAAGGACAUUUAUUUAUAUCAAACUUUUAUUUUUAGAUAUUAUAAGCAUACAGUACAUAAUUGAUGAAAUUGAUAUUUACUAGAGAUUUAUGGAGAAUAGAUGGCAUUCAAUAACUGGAGCCCUAGAUUGUCACUUUAUUUAAAAAAGACAAAUAAUCAUCUGACAAGACAGCACUGUUGCCAUUAUGAAGAGAAAAAUGUUACAGGCCUCCUAAUACACCCAUAUGGUCAUAGGACUCUCCUAAAACUGUAUCUGUCUGCUUGAAGUCAAUUUGUAUUUGUUGAGAAUGGAAAAGCUUUAUUUAAGUCUCCAGGGUGACAGUUUAUAAAGCUAGAGGAAUUCUGAAGGAAAAAAAAUUUCUAGGUGGCUAAGAUUUAUUGUUAUAAUCUUAUACUGUGAAAGUCUAAGAAAUCAAGCAACAUUGUUUCCUAGGUCUU